rnacentral:rRNA from 1 species
AACGAACGCUGGCGGCAGGCUUAACACAUGCAAGUCGAACGCCCCGCAAGGGGAGUGGCAGACGGGUGAGUAACGCGUGGGAAUCUACCCAGUUCUACGGAACAACUGAGGGAAACUUCAGCUAAUACCGUAUACGCCCUACGGGGGAAAGAUUUAUCGGAAUUGGAUGAGCCCGCGUUGGAUUAGCUAGUUGGUGAGGUAACGGCUCACCAAGGCGACGAUCCAUAGCUGGUCUGAGAGGAUGAUCAGCCACACUGGGACUGAGACACGGCCCAAACUCCUACGGGAGGCAGCAGUGGGGAAUCUUGCGCAAUGGGCGAAAGCCUGACGCAGCCAUGCCGCGUGAAUGAUGAAGGUCUUAGGAUUGUAAAAUUCUUUCACCGGGGACGAUAAUGACGGUACCCGGAGAAGAAGCCCCGGCUAACUUCGUGCCAGCCGCCGCAGUAAUAC